CUACUACUAAAAAUUAGAAAAGUUUAGUUAGACAAGUUACAGUUGUUAUUAUACUACUUAUUUGUUAUGCGCUCUCUAGGUCCAAUAUUGCUGAAAAAACGCUCAUUUGAGUUAGUUAAUCAUGUAUUGACAUUUCAUAUUCUUAAAAACAAAAAACCAUAUCGAAAAACAACACGCGUAGUUCGUUAUAUAAAAACGUGGAUAUACUUGAACGGAUUUUCGUACAUGCACGUAAGUACGAUUUCCCCUGCCCCCCCGG